AGUGAACGCUGGCGGCGUGCCUAAUACAUGCAAGUCGAACGGAGUGGCGCACGGGUGAGUAAUGUAUAGCUAAUCUGCCCUACACUAGAGGACAACAGUUGGAAACGACUGCUAAUACUCUAUAGUGUAGGAUGAGGCUAUAAUGUAUCAGCUAGUUGGUGAGGUAAUGGCUCACCAAGGGUAUGACGCAUAACUGGUCUGAGAGGAUGAUCAGUAAACCUCGAACUGAGGCACGGUGCGGACUCAUAGGAGAGGGAGCAGUAGGGAAUAGUGCUCAAUGCGGGAAGACGUGAAGCAGCAUCGCCGCGUGGAGGAUGAAACUUUUCGGAGAGUAAACUCCUGUUGUUAGCGAAGCGGUACCUACCGAAUAAGCACCGGCUAACUCCGUGCCAGCAGCCGCGGUAAUAC
rnacentral:rRNA from 1 species